rnacentral:rRNA from 1 species
CCUACGGGUGGCUGCAGUGGGGAAUAUUGGACAAUGGGCGAAAGCCUGAUCCAGCCAUGCCGCGUGUGUGAAGAAGGCCUUCGGGUUGUAAAGCACUUUUAGUGGGGAAGAAAGCCUUGGGGCUAAUACCCUCGAGGAAGGACAUCACCUACAGAAGAAGCACCGGCUAACUCCGUGCCAGCAGCCGCGGUAAUACGGAGGGUGCGAGCGUUAAUCGGAAUUACUGGGCGUAAAGCGCGCGUAGGCGGUCUGAUAAGCCGGUUGUGAAAGCCCCGGGCUCAACCUGGGAACGGCAUCCGGAACUGUCAGGCUAGAGUGCAGGAGAGGAAGGUAGAAUUCCCGGUGUAGCGGUGAAAUGCGUAGAGAUCGGGAGGAAUACCAGUGGCGAAGGCGGCCUUCUGGACUGACACUGACGCUGAGGUGCGAAAGCGUGGGUAGCAAACAGGAUUAGAUACCCCGGUAGUC